CAACCUGCCCAUCACUUGGGGAUAACCUUGCGAAAGUAAGACUAAUACCCAAUGAUAUCUCUAGAAGACAUCUGAAAGAGAUUAAAGAUUUAUCGGUGAUGGAUGGGGAUGCGUCUGAUUAGCUUGUUGGCGGGGUAACGGCCCACCAAGGCAACGAUCAGUAGGGGUUCUGAGAGGAAGGUCCCCCACAUUGGAACUGAGACACGGUCCAAACUCCUACGGGAGGCAGCAGUGAGGAAUAUUGGUCAAUGGACGAGAGUCUGAACCAGCCAAGUAGCGUGCAGGAAGACGGCCCUAUGGGUUGUAAACUGCUUUUAUAAGGGAAUAAAGUGAGUCUCGUGAGACUUUUUGCAUGUACCUUAUGAAUAAGGACCGGCUAAUUCCGUGCCAGCAGCCGCGGUAAUACGGAAGGUCCGGGCGUUAUCCGGAUUUAUUGGGUUUAAAGGGAGCGUAGGCCGGAGAUUAAGCGUGUUGUGAAAUGUAGACGCUCAACGUCUGCACUGCAGCGCGAACUGGUUUCCUUGAGUACGCACAAAGUGGGCGGAAUUCGUGGUGUAGCGGUGAAAUGCUUAGAUAUCACGAAGAACUCCGAUUG
rnacentral:rRNA from 1 species